rnacentral:misc_RNA from 1 species
GAUGAAGAACGUAGCGAAAUGCGACAAGUAAUGUGAAUUGCAGAAUUCCGUGAAUCAUCGAGUCUUUGAACGCACAUUGCGCCCCCUGGCAUUCCGGGGGGCAUGCCUGUCCGAGCGUCAUUGCUGCCCUUCAAGCCCGGCUUGUGUGUUGGGUCGUCGUCCCCCCCGGGGGACGGGCCCGAAAGGCAGCGGCGGCACCGCGUCCGGUCCUCGAGCGUAUGGGGCUUUGUCACCCGCUCGAUUAGGGCCGGCCGGGCGCCAGCCGGCGUCUCCAACCUUCUAUUUUACCAGGUUGACCUCGGAUCAGGUAGGGAUACCCGCUGAACUUAAGCAUAUCAAUAAGCGGAGGA